ACUCAAAGGAAUUGACGGGGGCCCGCACAAGCGGAGGAACAUGUGGUUUAAUUCGAUGAUACGCGAGGAACCUUACCCGGGCUUGAAAUGGAGCAGAAUAAUGAGGAAACUUGUUAGCCAGUAAUGGCUGCUUUGUAGGUGCUGCAUGGUUGUCGUCAGCUCGUGCCGUGAGGUGUCGGCUUAAGUGCCAUAACGAGCGCAACCCUUGCCAAUAGUUACCAGCAUUCAGAUGGGGACUCUAUUGGGACUGCCACCGUAAGGUGUGAGGAAGGUGGGGAUGACGUCAAAUCAGCACGGCCCUUACGUCCGGGGCGACACACGUGUUACAAUGGGGGGUACAGAGGGCAGCUACCACGUGAGUGGAUGCCAAUCCCAUAAAACUUCUCUCAGUUCGGAUCGAAGUCUGCAACUCGACUUCGUGAAGCUGGAUUCGCUAGUAAUCGCGCAUCAGCCAUGGCGCGGUGAAUACGUUCCCGGGCCUUGUACACACCGCCCGU
rnacentral:rRNA from 1 species